UCUGUUUCAAUGAUUGUUAAGACUGCUCGGAAUUCCCUUACUCGGUAAUAAAAAGUAUCUGUUGAACUGAAGUUCUAGCAGACAGCUGUUGCGCCGCAGGGAGGAUAGCUAGAAGUUGUUCUACAGAUUUCACAAUGAGAAGAAGCAGUAGUCGAUUUAUGUAGAGUAGCAGACGCACAGGAAGUACGUCAACUGGAACUAUCCGCACGAGACUUAACAGUGAUAUCAUUCGAAGUCGUGGUAACCGAUUCACACUCACCAAUUUUCCUAGACGUUCAGUAAACACUCCCACAUCAGAAGGCCGAAAACCAAUUCUGGAAAGAAAAGAACCUCCACCACCAGUUAAACCAGAUUUGACGGUAGAAAAUGUGGAUUUGAAUAUAUCUUCUAAUUCGAAUGAACAUCACACUGACGAGUAAAGCAUCAGCGAGGAAGGCAGAGGACUGGUUGUGAGACGUGGGCAGACAUUCAAUAUCAUUAUUGAAGUGAAUAGGGAUUAUGAUGUAAAGAAGGACGAUCUUAAGUUUGUUUUCCUUGCAGGUGAUAAUCCGACCCCUACGACGGGGACACGUGUUAGUCUCGUUCUUGCAGAUGGGGAUCCUGAUGAAGAAUGGGGAGCACGUAUUUUAAAGUACGCAAAGUAAAGAUUGUCAAUCAGGAUAAAUACUCCACCUACUUGUUAAGUUGGGAUAUGGAAGCUGCAGAUAGAAACUUUCGUUAAAUCCGAUAACAAGACUGUAAUAUUUGACAUGUGGCACGACCAAAAUAUCUACAUUCUAUUCAAUCCUUGGUGUAAAGGCAAGUUUUGAUUUCCUAAA